UACGUAGGGGGCUAGCGUUGUCCGGAAUCAUUGGGCGUAAAGCGCGUGUAGGCGGUCCGGUAAGUCCGCUGUGAAAGUCGGGGGCUCAACCCUCGGAUGCCGGUGGAUACUGUCGGGCUUGAGUACGGAAGAGGCGAGUGGAAUUCCUGGUGUAGCGGUGAAAUGCGCAGAUAUCAGGAGGAACACCAUUGCGAAGGCAGCUCGCUGGGACGUUACUGACGCUGAGACGCGAAAGCGUGGGGAGCAAACAGG
rnacentral:rRNA from 1 species